UUUCUCUCUCUCUCCCUCUCUCUCUCUCUCUCUCUCUCUCUCUCUCUCUCUUGACUCUCCGAUCUGACGAGAUUUUGCUAAAAUCGGAGGCAGUCGUCAGUUUAAUUGUCACCUUUGACUCCUUGAUUUACCCUGAUCAUCAUCUUCACCGACGCGCUGCACGAUCGGUGAAUUUUGUUGAGCAAAUAGGCGACUCUUCUUGAACAAUGGCUCGUCCUUCUUUCACCCGAUCUGAGUCUUUCCUUCACCAAAUCGGCGUAUCUCUUUCACCAAGUAUUUCUGAUGGUAAAUUAGGGUUCUUUGAAGAUGAAUAGGGCAUGAUGGUGGUUAAGCUGGGUGCAUGUAGAAGAAGCUCAAAGGGGAAUUGUGUACAUUGAUGAAGUUGAUAAGAUGACUAUGAAGUCUCAUAGCUCAAAUGGUGGUAGAGAUGUCUCUGGAGAAGGUGUCCAACAGUCAUUGAUAAAAUUGCUGGAAGGAACUGUAAGACUUUCUACUUUAAAUCUUUUAGUUUUUUCAAAAAUGUGUAUAUACAUGUAGACUGUUGACAAAACAAUUAGGAAUUCCCUUUUCGCCUUCUUGUUAAGAUAGAUUAUGCAUGUGCAUAUGCGUAGUCUCAUUUGAAAUUAGCAUGCAUGUUCGGAAACAAAACACAUGGUGUAUUCCUUAUUAAAAACUAAAAUAUAUUGUGAAUAGUCGAUGCUCGUUUCCUUAGUAAAAAGCUAUACAAGAUCAACUGAUUGGUUAAACUGAAUUCGAUUAGUCUUGUUAUACAUAAAACUUAAUGACUAGUUAGCUUUUGCUUUUGGUUAGUCAUCAAGUAUAUAUGUCUACAUCAAACAUUGUGUUCUUUGUGUUUUGCUUUAAAUUAAUGCUUAAGUUGUAUUUGUUUCUGUUUAAAUGCAUCUUAUGUACUAUGUGUUCUGUCCUAAUAGAAUUUAAUUAUUUCGCUGAUAAACAAACUCCAUUCCUUUUCGUACGUUAAUAAGUAAAAAGCUUAAUAAGUAAAUGCUUGUUAGUUGUGAUAAAUGCUUGUUAGUUGUUUAGUAACUGUCUACAUCAUGUUUUGUUUAUGUUUUGUGUGUGAUCAAUGCUUGUUACACUGUGAUCAAUGCUAGUUAGUUAUUUACUCUCAAGUGAUAAAUGCUUGUUAGUUGUGUGAUCAAGUUGUUAGACUGAUCAAUUUAAACAACCACCAAGAUUUCUUUAUUCUUCUUUCUUUCUUCAAUCUCUCUUCUUUCUUUAUUUUUUUGGUCCUCUUCUUUCUUUAUUUUUUCUGUCUUUCUUUCUUUCUUUCUUCAUCUCAGCCAUAAGUGGUGUAAUGGAUUCUUCCAAUCCAUUUACUCAAUCUUCUUGGUUCUUGGACCUGCUCAAUAGUCAACCAUGGAUUGAGAAUGAAGCAAGCCAAGUCCCUGUCCAAAAUGAUCAAUGGUCAGAGAGCAUUCAAGCUGAAGACACACCUGAGGGAAAAAAAGGAAAACGUAACAAUUGGUCAGUAAAAGAAGAUGUUGUGCUCAUAUCAGCCUUGUUGAAUACAAGCAAAGACCUUGUGGUGGCCAAUGAGCAAAGGAAGAUGACCUUCUGGUCAAGAAUAGCAAACUACUUUGCUGCAUCUCCAGCGCUUGUUGGGAUGCCAAAGAGAGAGUCUGACCAUUGCAAGUAAAGGUGGAGGAAGAUCAAUGAUCUGUUCUGCAAGUUUGUUGGUUCCUAGCUGCAACAACUCAGAAGUCAAGCGGACAGAAUGAAAAUGAUGUAAUGAAGCUUGCUCACCAAAUCUACUCCAGUGAUUAUGGGGUCAAGUUCACACUUGACCAUUGUUGGAGAGAGCUUCGUAACGAUCAGAAGUGGUGUGCUGCUUCUUCACCUGCAUAGGAUGACAAGUCAAAAAGAAGAAAGGUAGGGGAUAGAGCUGAAGCUGCUGAACAGUCAUCAAGCUCACAUGUAGCUAGCCAUGGAGAUGAAGCAAUGGCUCGUCCACCAGGUUUUAAGGCGGCAAAGGCCAAAGCUAUAAGGAAUAACAAAGGCGUUGAAGAAGGACCAGAUGCUCUGUUAAGGAUUCAGAGCAUUUGGGAGAUUAAGAAAGAGGACUAUGAACUGAAGAAGAAGCAGAGCAAGCUCAAAAUGUUGGAAAAUCUCCUUGGAAAAACAGAGUCACUUAGUGAAAUAGAUAUGGCUUUGAAGGACAAGCUUAUCACUGACAUGUUGUCACAAGCUUAAAUGUUGUCUUUUAUUUCCUGAAUCAGUUUUUUUUUGGAAGUUAGUGUUUCUAUUAUGUUUGUGAUCAAUUAAUGCUUGUGUUUUGUUCAGUUUAUUAUUGAGUUUAUUACUUGUGUUCUCUUCUCAGUUCUAAUGUUAUGGAUGUGUUUUAUUGCU